rnacentral:tRNA from 1 species
GGGGCGGUCGUCUAGCGGCCAGGAUCCCCGGCUUUCGACCGGGGGACCGGGGUUCGACUCCCCGUCGCCCUA